GGGGAUGUGGCUCAGUGGUAGAACACUUGCCUCACGUGCAUGAGGCCCUGGGUUCAAUCCCUAGCACCACCA
rnacentral:tRNA from 1 species